rnacentral:rRNA from 1 species
AUACGGAGGGUGCAAGCGUUAUCCGGAAUCAUUGGGUUUAAAGGGUCCGUAGGCGGACUAAUAAGUCAGGGGUGAAAUCCCACAGCUUAACUGUGGAACUGCCUUUGAUACUGUUAGUCUUGAGUUAUAUGGAAGUAGAUAGAAUGUGUAGUGUAGCGGUGAAAUGCUUAGAGAUUACACAGAAUACCGAUUGCGAAGGCAGUCUACUACAUAUAUACUGACGCUAAUGGACGAAAGCGUGGGGAGCGAACAGGAUUAGAAACCCCUGUAGUCC